rnacentral:rRNA from 1 species
GUUGACCUCGGAUCAGGUAGGACUACCCGCUGAACUUAAGCAUAUCAAUAAGCGGAGGAAAAGAAACCAACAGGGAUUGCCCCAGUAACGGCGAGUGAAGCGGCAACAGCUCAGAUUUGGAAUCUGGCCCCCAGGGCCCGAGUUGUAAUCUGGAGAGGAUGCUUCUGGCGCGGCGCCUUCCGAGUUCCCUGGAACGGGACGCCGGAGAGGGUGAGAGCCCCGUACGGUCGGACGCCUAGCCUCUGUGAAGCUCCUUCGACGAGUCGAGUAGUUUGGGAAUGCUGCUCAAAAUGGGAGGUAAAUUUCUUCUAAAGCUAAAUACCGGCCAGAGACCGAUAGCGCACAAGUAGAGUGAUCGAAAGAUGAAAAGCACUUUGAAAAGAGGGUUAAACAGUACGUGAAAUUGUUGAAAGGGAAG